UGGGGAAUUUUGGACAAUGGGCGAAAGCCUGAUCCAGCAAUGCCGCGUGUGUGAAGAAGGCCUUCGGGUUGUAAAGCACUUUUGUCCGGAAAGAAAUCCUUGGCUCUAAUACAGUCGGGGGAUGACGGUACCGGAAGAAUAAGCACCGGCUAACUACGUGCCAGCAGCCGCGGUAAUACGUAGGGUGCAAGCGUUAAUCGGAAUUACUGGGCGUAAAGCGUGCGCAGGCGGUUUGCUAAGACCGAUGUGAAAUCCCCGGGCUCAACCUGGGAACUGCAUUGGUGACUGGCAGGCUAGAGUAUGGCAGAGGGGGGUAGAAUUCCACGUGUAGCAGUGAAAUGCGUAGAGAUGUGGAGGAAUACCGAUGGCGAAGGCAGCCCCCUGGGCCAAUACUGACGCUCAUGCACGAAAGCGUGGGGAGCAAACAGGAUUAGAUACCCUGGUAGUCCACGCCCUAAACGAUGUCAACUAGUUGUUGGGGAUUCAUUUCCUUAGUAACGUAGCUAACGCGUGAAGUUGACCGCCUGAGGAGUACGGUCGCAAGAUUAAAACUCAAAUGAAUUGACGGGGUCAUAGCUGUUUCCU
rnacentral:rRNA from 1 species